rnacentral:rRNA from 1 species
UACGAAGGGGGCAAGCGUUGUUCGGAAUUACUGGGCGUAAAGGGCGCGUAGGCGGCUUAUCAAGUCAGGCGUGAAAUUCCCGGGCUCAACCUGGGGGCUGCGCUUGAUACUGGUGAGCUUGAAUGCGGGAGAGGAUAGUGGAAUUCCCAGUGUAGAGGUGAAAUUCGUAGAUAUUGGGAAGAACACCGGUGGCGAAGGCGGCUAUCUGGCCCGUAAUUGACGCUGAGGCGCGAAAGCGUGGGGAGCAAACAGG